CUAUGGGAAACCAUGGCUAAUACCCCGGAUGUCAAGGAGUUUAGACGCCCUUGACUAAAGUUCCGGCGCCUCGGGAGGGGCCUGCGGGCUAUCAGCUUGUUGGUGAGGUAAUGGCUUACCAAGGCAAAGACGGCUAGGGGGCGUGAGAGCGCGACCCCCCACAAUGGAACUGAGACACGGUCCAUACUCCUACGGGAGGCAGCAGUGAGGAAUAUUGCGCAAUGGGGGCAACCCUGACGCAGCAACGCCGCGUGAACGAUGAAGGCCUUCGGGUCGUAAAGUUCUUUUCUGAGGGACGAUAGUGACGGUACCUCAGGAAUAAGUCCCGGCUAACUACGUGCCAGCAGCCGCGGUAAAACGUAGGGGGCGAGCGUUAUCCGGAUUUAUUGGGCGUAAAGAGCACGUAGGCGGCACUGUAAGUUGGGCGUGAAAGCUCUCGGCUUAACUGAGAGAGGUCGUUCAAAACUGCAGUGCUUGAGGUUGAAAGAGGAGAGUGGAAUUCCCGGUGUAGUGGUGGAAUGCGUAGAUAUCGGGAGGAACACCAGUGGCGAAAGCGACUCUCUGGUUCACACCUGACGCUGAGGUGCGAAAGCGUGGGGAGCGAACGGGAUUAGAUACCCCGGUAGUCCAUGCUGUAAACGAUGGAUACUAGGUGUGGGAGGUUAUCAACUCCUUCUGUGCCGGAGCUAACGCGUUAAGUAUCCCGCCUGGGGACUACGACCGCAAGGUUAAAACUCAAAGGAAUUGACGGGGGCCCGCACAAGCAGCGGAGCGUGUGGUUUAAUUCGAUGAUACGCGAA
rnacentral:rRNA from 1 species